GAAGCGGGAAAAGCUCAAAUUUGAAAUCUGGCGGUCUUUGAUCGUCCGAGUUGUAAUCUAGAGAAGUUGUUACCUGUGCAGGACCAUGUACAAGUCUCCUGGAAUGGGGCAUCAUAGAGGGUGAGAAUCCCGUCUUUGACAUGGACUACCUGCAUGUUGUGGUGCGCUCUCAAAGAGUCGAGUUGUUUGGGAAUGCAGCUCAAAAUGGGUGGUAAAUGCCAUCUAAAGCUAAAUAUUGGCGAGAGACCGAUAGCGAACAAGUACCGUGAGGGAAAGAUGAAAAGAACUUUGGAAAGAGAGUUAAACAGUACGUGAAAUUGCUGAAAGGGAAACGCUUGAAGUCAGUCACAUUGGCCAGAAAUCAGCCUUGCUUCUGUGAGGUGUACUUUCUGUUUGAUGGGUCAGCAUCAAUUUUGAUCACUGGAUAAAGUCUCUGGGAACGUGGCAUCUUCGGAUGUGUUAUAGCCCAUUUUCACAUGCAGUGGUUGGGAUUGAGGAACUCAGCACGCCGAAAGGCCGGGUUUCGACCAUGUUCGUGCUUAGGAUGCUGGCAUAAUGGCUUUAAUCGACCCGUCUUGAAACACGGACCAAGGAGUCUAACAUGCCUGCGAGUGUUUGGGUGGAAAACCCAUGCGCGCAAUGAAAGUGAAAAGUUGAGAUCCCUUUUAGUAGGUGAGCAUCGACGCCCGGACCAGACCUUUUGUGACGGAUCCGCGGUAGAGCAUGCAUGUUGGGACCCGAAAGAUGGUGAACUAUGCCUGAAUAGGGUGAAGCCAGAGGAAACUCUGGUGGAGGCUCGUAGCGAUUCUGACGUGCAAAUCGAUCGUCAAAUU
rnacentral:rRNA from 1 species